UCCGUAGGUGAACCUGCGGAAGGAUCAUUAUCGAGUGAAGGGUUCUCUAAGGACCCAACCUCCCAACCCUUGUGUUCUUUACCACUUUGCUUCGGCAGGCCCGUCACUGUUGUGACCGCUGAAGGGUUAUGUUUUUAACUAGCCUUUGGCCCGUGCCUGCCGGAGAUAUUUGAACGCUUGUUUAUGAAAUAGGUUGUCUGAGUUAUUAAAGAAAAUAAGUCAAAAACUUUCAACAACGGAUCUCUUGGUUCCGGCAUCGAUGAAGAACGCAGCGAAAUGCGAUAAGUAAUGUGAAUUGCAGAAUUCCGUGAAUCAUCGAAUCUUUGAACGCACAUUGCGCCCUCUGGUAUUCCGGAGGGCAUGCCUGUCCGAGCGUCAUUGCUGUACCUCAAGCCCGGCUUGUGUGUUGGGCCUACCGUCCCCUGGACGGUGACCCGAAAGGCAGUGGCGGCGUCGCGUCCCGGUCCUUGAAGCGUAUGGGGCUUUGUCACCCGCUUGGAGGCCGGCCGACCCCGUAGCCCAUCGUGGAUCUUCCACAAUUCUUUCUGAUGGACCUCGGAUCAGGUAGGGAUACCCGCUGAACUU
rnacentral:misc_RNA from 1 species